UACGUAGGGUGCAAGCGUUGUCCGGAAUUAUUGGGCGUAAAGAGCUCGUAGGCGGUCUGUCGCGUCGAAUGUGAAAACCCGGGGCUCAACCCCGGGCCUGCAUUCGAUACGGGCAGACUAGAGUUCGGUAGGGGAGUCUGGAAUUCCUGGUGUAGCGGUGAAAUGCGCAGAUAUCAGGAGGAACACCGGUGGCGGAGGCGGGACUCUGGGCCGAUACUGACGCUGAGGAGCGAAAGCGUGGGGAGCGAACAGG
rnacentral:rRNA from 1 species